rnacentral:rRNA from 1 species
GGCAGAGGGUGCAAACGUUGUUCGGAAUUACUGGGCGUAAAGCGCGUGUAGGUGGCGAGGCAAGUCGGGUGUGAAAGCCCUGGGCUCAACCCAGGAAGUGCACUCGAUACUGCCUAGCUAGAGUCCCGGAGAGGUUGGUGGAACUCUCGGUGUAGAGGUGAAAUUCGUAGAUAUCGAGAAGAACACCGGUGGCGAAGGCGGCCAACUGGACGGUGACUGACACUGAGACGCGAAAGCGUGGGGAGCAAACAGG